ACCCAAAGUGAACGUUACCAAACUGUUGCCUCGGCGGGAUCUCUGCCCCGGGUGCGUCGCAGCCCCGGACCAAGGCGCCCGCCGGAGGACCAACCUAAAACUCUUAUUGUAUACCCCCUCGCGGGUUUUUUUAUAAUCUGAGCCUUCUCGGCGCCUCUCGUAGGCGUUUCGAAAAUGAAUCAAAACUUUCAACAACGGAUCUCUUGGUUCUGGCAUCGAUGAAGAACGCAGCGAAAUGCGAUAAGUAAUGUGAAUUGCAGAAUUCAGUGAAUCAUCGAAUCUUUGAACGCACAUUGCGCCCGCCAGUAUUCUGGCGGGCAUGCCUGUCCGAGCGUCAUUUCAACCCUCGAACCCCUCCGGGGGGUCGGCGUUGGGGAUCGGCCCUCCCUUAGCGGGUGGCCGUCUCCGAAAUACAGUGGCGGUCUCGCCGCAGCCUCUCCUGCGCAGUAGUUUGCACACUCGCAUCGGGAGCGCGGCGCGUCCACAGCCGUUAAACACCCAACUUCUGAAAUGUUGACCUCGGAUCAGGUAGGAAUACCCGCUGAACUUAAGCAUAUCA
rnacentral:rRNA from 1 species